CCAAUAGCGUAUAUUAAAGUUGUUGCAGUUAAAAAGCUCGUAGUUGAAUUUCGGGAUCAACAUGUCGGUCGUGCCUCUGGUACGUACUGGUAUCGUUGAUUUCUACCUUCUGACGAACUAUGAUGUCAUUAAUUUGGUGUCAUGGGGAAUCAGGACUGUUACUUUGAAAAAAUUAGAGUGUUUAAAGCAGGCACACGCUUGGAUACAUUAGCAUGGAAUAAUGAAAUAGGACGUUUGAUCCUAUUUUGUUGGUUUCUAGGAUCGACGUAAUGAUUAAUAGGGAUAGUUGGGGGCAUUAGUAUUCAAUUGUCAGAGGUGAAAUUCUUGGAUUUAUUGAAGACUAACUACUGCGAAAGCAUUUGCCAAGGAUGUUUUCAUUAAUCAAGAACGAAAGUUAGGGGAUCGAAGACGAUCAGAUACCGUCGUAGUCUUAACCAUAAACUAUGCCGACUAGGGAUCGGAUGAUGUUAAUUUUUUAAUGACUCAUUCGGCGCCUUACG
rnacentral:rRNA from 1 species